UGACACUGCUAAAUUUAGAAAAGGGCUCUGUUUUCUGUUUUGCUCAACCCUCACAAUUUUCUGCUCUGAAGAAAGAGGAGUUUCAAAUGCACACUGAUCUGUCUCAUAUCGUGAAUGAACCCAACGAGCACCUGUUUUCAACUGCCAAAAUACGUUCUUUUUUUACAAAAGGGAAAGAGAAGCCUGUAUACUCUUAAUUCAUCAUAGGAGGUAGAAUUUCCCCCCCUGCUUUCUUCAAAAGGACAUAACCAGAAAGAACCAUGACUGUCUCUGGGUGUUUUUCUUCAGAGUGAAGGCUGGACCCACCCUUGUCCCAGAAGGUAAAGUUUGAUUCAUCUAACACGCAAAUCUGGAUGUCCCAUUAUCCUUGCCAGUGAUCAGUUUAGAAUAACAUUUCUCAACCUCAGGACUUUCGACAUUUGGGGCUGGAUCAUUCUGUUGUAGGGCUGCCCUGUGCUUGUAGGAUGUUUGGCCUCUACCCUCUAGAUGGGGUACGCCACCCCCUCCCCCCCAUCCACCCUAGCUGGGACAACAGAA